rnacentral:rRNA from 1 species
UACCAGCACCCCGAGUGGUCGGGACGAUUAUUGGGCCUAAAGCAUCCGUAGCCGGUCAUGCAAGUCCUCCGUUAAAUCCACCUGCUUAACAGAUGGGCUGCGGAGGAUACUAUAGAGCUAGGAGGCGGGAGAGGCAAGCGGUACUUAGUGGGUAGGGGUAAAAUCCGUUGAUCCAUUGAAGACCACCAGUGGCGAAGGCGGCUUGCCAGAACGCACUCGACGGUGAGGGAUGAAAGCUGGGGGAGCAAACCGGG